GAAUCUGCCUGGUUAGUGGGGGAUAACGUCCGGAAACGGACGCUAAUACCGCAUACGUCCUACGGGAGAAAGCAGGGGACCUUCGGGCCUUGCGCUAUCAGAUGAGCCUAGGUCGGAUUAGCUAGUUGGUGGGGUAAUGGCUCACCAAGGCGACGAUCCGUAACUGGUCUGAGAGGAUGAUCAGUCACACUGGAACUGAGACACGGUCCAGACUCCUACGGGAGGCAGCAGUGGGGAAUAUUGGACAAUGGGCGAAAGCCUGAUCCAGCCAUGCCGCGUGUGUGAAGAAGGUCUUCGGAUUGUAAAGCACUUUAAGUUGGGAGGAAGGGCAGUAAAUUAAUACUUUGCUGUUUUGACGUUACCGACAGAAUAAGCACCGGCUAACUCUGUGCCAGCACCCGCGGUAAUACAGAGGGUGCAAGCGUUAAUCGGAAUUACUGGGCGUAAAGCGCGCGUAGGUGGUUUCGUU
rnacentral:rRNA from 1 species